rnacentral:lncRNA from 1 species
CAUCUUUGUUGGGCAACUUUAGGCAGCGCUCUCUCUCUCUCCCUCUGCCCAGGCGCGAUGUUGUUCCUUUCACACGUCUGUACCUGACAGCAUACCUUGCAAAUGAGCGGCUGACGAAAAUUGGGCCCUCCGCAUUAGAGCUGCGGCAGAAGCAACCUGCUGGGAGCUCUGCUGGAAUCUUGGACCGGUGGACGUAUUGAGCUAGCAGCUAAACUGCUGGACCAAGCAAGGGCAAGUAAGGCAGCAAAUAAGCGCCGCGCGCGCGUGAACGAGGGCGGGACGAGGAGCGCCACCGUUGCGCUGUGCAGCAGAGCAGCUGAGCAACCUUGCUUCGUGCAAUAAAUGUGCUGGUAGCGCGUUAUGGGGCGACCCACCGGACCCGGGACUUGAUUGGGUGGGGCGGGGACUCUGGACGCGGAAGACAAAGCCUCCAUCCGCCAUUGUGCCUUGCCGUUUACUACGUACCGGUUUGCGUUAGGGAGAGGGGCAUACGUCCAUCCGUUGAACCGCACGGCGCCCACCUUGUAUGGCAUCUCUGGCCCCCGCCCGUAGUCCUGCCUUUGAACCCCGACCGCCGGCGGCGUGGUGGUCACGCAAAACGCACCGUGUGCUGCACCAUGUGCUGCACAGCGGCGGGGUGAAACAAGCGACCGACCGUGGUCGCUGACCACGCUCUGUGCCAGGGUGGUAGCUGCGCCAAGUGCCCCGCCACGCAGACCUUCUGCCGGGGCCUGUGCCAGCGGUGCAACGUACUAGCUACCGGGAGUACUACCGCAAGAAGAAGUGACGCGCAGGCGCCAGGCGCAGCUGUAAGAUUGAGAGCGGGCAGGGAGGACGUAGACGUAGCAGGCGCAACACCGCGGCAAGCAGGGGCGGCCUUUAUAGGGCGUCGUUCCGAAAGUGUUGGUGCAUGAGGAACGCAUAGAACGCACUGCGGUUGCAAGGCAUGCGCUGGUUGAGGCGUUGGCGCAAGCAUGGAGCGCGUCGUCGCCGUGCUGGCUGUGAUGACUCCAAGGGAAGGCUAAGAAAUGCUGGCGCUGCUUACUUCGUUCCUACACGCGUGUGCUGUGCUUUGCUGCUCGUGAUGGAACAUGGCAAGGGGCAGGAAAGCGUAGUCCCGAUGU